GUAAGUAAAUAUUAAUUACGAAAGCAAAAAAUUAUGGCGGUAUUUUAAGCUUUUCAGAGGAAUUUGCUCUUUAAUGGAUAAAACACCUAGAUCUUACUUAAAUUAGUACUUUUCAGUUUGUAUACCACUAUUACAAUAAUAAUUCAUUAUUAUUAUUAAUAUUCUUGUAUUAGAAAAAAAUUAAGUCAAGGUGCAGCAUAAAUUUAUGAAUGAAGUGAAUUACAUUUCUUAAAAGAAAAUUAGAAAGUUGAAAUAGGAUAUUUAGGAUUUGAAAGUAAAAUGUGAAAGAUAAGGUUAAUUUGAAGUAAGCUCUNGGGGUGUACACAUCG
rnacentral:rRNA from 1 species